AGGACGAACGCUGGCGGCGUGCUUAACACAUGCAAGUCGAGCGAGGCCCUUCCUUCGGGAAGGUGUCCUAGCGGCGAACGGGUGAGUAACACGUGGGCAACCUGCCCUCAGCUCUGGGAUAACUCCGGGAAACCGGGGCUAAUACCGGAUACGACCUCUAAGGGCAUCAGAAGAGGUGGAAAGUUUUUCGGCUGAGGAUGGGCCCGCGGCCUAUCAGCUUGUUGGUGGGGUCAAGGCCUACCAAGGCGACGACGGGUAGCCGGCCUGAGAGGGUGACCGGCCACACUGGGACUGAGACACGGCCCAGACUCCUACGGGAGGCAGCAGUGGGAAUAUUGCGCAAUGGGCGAAAGCCUGACGCAGCGACGCCGCGUGAGGGACGAAGGCCUUCGGGUUGUAAACCUCUUUCAGCAGGGACGAAGCGAAAGUGACGGUACCUGCAGAAGAAGCACCGGCAACUACGUGCCAGCAGCCGC
rnacentral:rRNA from 1 species